CUUUUAAUUGAAAAUUUCUUGGCGAGCUGUGGUGUGUUUGAAAGAAUUCCGUAAAAUGUGUACUCUAAUGCAAGGCCAUGUGGUCUUACAUUUGAAAAGAAAGAAAAGCUAAAAUAUCAAUCUCAUGCAACUGCAAUGAAUGGAUUAAAAAAUGUGAAAAAACACGUGGCGAGCGGUGAAAAGAGAGGGACAGCCGGCAUUGCACGCGAUGCUCUGUGAAAAAGAAGCCGCCAUUUUUUGAAGCAUUUUGGAAAAAUGUGAUCGAGAUUACAUCCAUCAGAUACAUGGAAAAUAAUAAAAUGGAUCAGUCGUGACAUAAGAUUCGAAAGGAUACGUCAUGCUAAAACAAGCUGAAUUCAUUUGUUGGAAGCGCAAUUAAGACCUGUGCCACUUUCUGUUUAUCGAGGGACUCUUACGGUCAAGAUCGUCCUAAGAUGAUGUGACCCAGAUGCUUAAUCCAGAUCAUUUGAUGAGAUACUUAAUACUUAAGAUACAUCUUAAAUCUAAAAAACUGGACUUCAGAAGAACUAUAAAGGUUUCGUUUUAAAAUAUCGAUUAAACUGAUUGAUGAAUCAAAACUUCUCGAAUGAAAAGACUUCUUCACGCACAAAGGCAAAUGAUCCAUUGAUUUGGUAGUAACUUACGUCUUUUUGAAAAGGUUUAUCUACAACCAAUAACUAUCUACAACAAUAACAAACGGAAUAUAUUUUUCUAUAAUAAAAAUGCAAAUAAAUGACUACUGAAUUCAAGUACU
rnacentral:lncRNA from 1 species